CCAGAGACCGAUAGCGCACAAGUAGAGUGAUCGAAAGAUGAAAAGCACUUUGGAAAGAGAGUUAAACAGUACGUGAAAUUGUUGAAAGGGAAGCGCUGGCAACCAGACUUGCUCGCGGGUGAUCAGCCUCCCUUCGGGGGGGGUGCACUCGCCCGCGAUCAGGCCAGCAUCGGUUUCGGCGGGCGGAUAAAGUCCCCAGGAAUGUAGCUCCCCUCGGGGAGUGUUAUAGCCUGAGGUGCCAUGCGCCCAGCCGGGACCGAGGACCGCGCUCCGGCUAGGAUGCUGGCGUAAUGGUUGUCAGCGACCCGUCUUGAAACACGGACCAAGGAGUCUAACAUCUGUGCGAGUGUUUGGGUGUCAAACCCAGGCGCGGAAUGAAAGUGAACGGAGGUGGGAGCCCUCUCGGGGGCGCACCAUCGACCGAUCCUGAUGUCUUCGGAUGGAUUUGAGUAGGAGCAUGGCUGUUGGGACCCGAAAGAUGGUGAACUAUGCGUGAAUAGGGUGAAGCCAGAGGAAACUCUGGUGGAGGCUCGCAGCGGUUCUGACGUGCAAAUCGAUCGUCAAAUUUGCGUAUAGGGGSG
rnacentral:rRNA from 1 species